rfam:Gossypium raimondii Chr09_contig_1505, whole genome shotgun sequence.
CCAAAGGAGUUUUUAGACUCCACAAACAGGGUUAGGGCGUUGACA